UGGGGAAUAUUGCACAAUGGGCGAAAGCCUGAUGCAGCAACGCCGCGUGAGCGAUGAAGGCUUUCGGGUCGUAAAGCUCUGUCCUCAAGGAAGAUAAUGACGGUACUUGAGGAGGAAGCCCCGGCUAACUACGUGCCAGCAGCCGCGGUAAUACGUAGGGGCUAGCGUUAUCCGGAAUUACUGGGCGUAAAGGGUGCGUAGGUGGUUUCUUAAGUCAGAGGUGAAAGGCUACGGCUCAACUGUAGUAAGCCUUUGAAACUGGGAAACUUGAGUGCAGGAGAGGAGAGUGGAAUUCCUAGUGUAGCGGUGAAAUGCGUAGAUAUUAGGAGGAACACCAGUUGCGAAGGCGGCUCUCUGGACUGUAACUGACACUGAGGCACGAAAGCGUGGGAGCAAACAG
rnacentral:rRNA from 1 species